GACGGAGGGUGCUAGCGUUGUUCGGAAUUACUGGGCGUAAAGGGCGCGUAGGCGGCUGCUCAAGUCGAUUGUGAAAUCUCCGGGCUUAACCCGGAAAGGUCAACCGAUACUGCGGGCUAGAGUGCGGAAGGGGCAACUGGAAUUCUUGGUGUAGCGGUGAAAUGCGUAGAUAUCAAGAGGAACACCUGCGGCGAAGGCGGGUUGCUGGGCCGACACUGACGCUGAUGCGCGAAAGCUAGGGGAGCGAACGGG
rnacentral:rRNA from 1 species